UACGUAGGGGGCAAGCGUUAUCCGGAUUUACUGGGUGUAAAGGGGGCGCAGACGGCGAUGCAAGCCAGGAGUGAAAGCCCGGGGCCCAACCCCGGGACUGCUCUUGGAACUGCGUGGCUGGAGUGCAGGAGGGGCAGACGGAAUUCCUGGUGUAGCGGUGAAAUGCGUAGAUAUAUGGAGGAACACCGGUGGCGAAAGCGGCUCUCUGGCCUGUAACUGACACUGAGGCUCGAAAGCGUGGGGAGCAAACAGG
rnacentral:rRNA from 1 species